AGCAAAGUCAGCUAAAUAAGCUUUUGGGCCCAUACCCCAAAAAUGUGGGUUUGACCCCCACCUUCGCUA
rnacentral:tRNA from 1 species